rnacentral:rRNA from 1 species
GACGAACGCUGGCGGCGUGCCUAAUACAUGCAAGUAGAACGCACAGUUUAUACCGUAGCUUGCUACACCAUAAACUGUGAGUUGCGAACGGGUGAGUAACGCGUAGGUAACCUGCCUGGUAGCGGGGGAUAACUAUUGGAAACGAUAGCUAAUACCGCAUAAUAUUGAUUAUUGCAUGAUAAUUGAUUGAAAGAUGCUAUUGCAUCACUACCAGAUGGACCUGCGUUGUAUUAGCUAGUAGGUGAGGUAACGGCUUACCUAGGCGACGAUACAUAGCCGACCUGAGAGGGUGAUCGGCCACACUGGGACUGAGACACGGCCCAGACUCCUACGGGAGGCAGCAGUAGGGAAUCUUCGGCAAUGGACGAAAGUCUGACCGAGCAACGCCGCGUGAGUGAAGAAGGUUUUCGGAUCGUAAAGCUCUGUUGUAAGAGAAGAACGGGUGUGAGAGUGGAAAGUGCACACUGUGACGGUAUCUUACCAGAAAGGGACGGCUAACUACGU